UACGUAGGGGGCAAGCGUUAUCCGGAUUUACUGGGCGUAAAGCGCGUUAAGGCGGCUGGUUAAGUUGGUGGUGAAAUUCCAGGGCUCAACCCUGGAACUGCCUCCAAUACUGGUCGGCUUGAGUGCGAGAGAGGAAGGUGGAAUUCCCGGUGUAGUAGUGAAAUGCGUAGAUAUCGGGAGGAACACCAGUGGCGAAGGCGGCCUUCUGGCUCGCAACUGACGCUGUAGCGCGAAAGCGUGGGGAG
rnacentral:rRNA from 1 species